AUGAAAUUGGUCAAAACUUGCUUGCGCAAUCGCCUCAACGAUGACAGCUUGAGUGAUGAUGUUAUUUGUUAUGUGGAGAAGGAAGAAAUGAAAAAGGUCACCAAUGAUCAAGUGGUUAAGUAUUUCAUGGCUCGAAGGAAGAGAAUGUACUAA
rnacentral:rRNA from 1 species